AGCAGCAGCCACGGUAAUACGUAGGGUGCAAGCGUUAAUCAGAAUUACUGGGCGUAAAGCGUGCGCAGGCGGUUUGUUAAGACAGAUGUGAAAUCCCCGGGCUCAACCUGGGAACUGCAUUUGAGACUGUAUGGCUAGAGUGUGUCAGAGGGGGGUAGAAUUCCACGUGUAGCAGUGAAAUGCGUAGAUAUGUGGAGGAAUACCGAUGGCGAAGGCAGCCCCCUGGGAUAACACUGACGCUCAUGCACGAAAGCGUGGGGAGCAAACAGGAUUAGAUACCCCCGUAGUCCCUGUCUCUUAUAC
rnacentral:rRNA from 1 species